rnacentral:rRNA from 1 species
UACGGAGGGGGCUAGCGUUGUUCGGAAUUACUGGGCGUAAAGCGCACGUAGGCGGCUUUUUAAGUCAGAGGUGAAAGCCCGGGGCUCAACCCCGGAAUUGCCUUUGAGACUGGAUCGCUUGAACGUCGGAGAGGUGAGUGGAAUUCCGAGUGUAGAGGUGAAAUUCGUAGAUAUUCGCAAGAACACCAGUGGCGAAGGCGGCCAACUGGUCCGAUACUGACGCUGAGGCGCGGAAGCCGUGGGGAGCAAACAGG